GGAUGUGAGGGCGAUCUGGCUGCAACAUCCAUUGUCCCAUUGAUCGCCAGGGUUGAUUUGGCUGAUCUGGCUAGUUAGGCAAGUGUCUCCUUCCUCCCUCAUCGGUCCAUGCACACCCCCCUGUCAGUACGCCUUUGAGCCGAUGCCAAGGACUGGGCUCAACAACAGGAUCUGC